CUCUCAGCUUAUCUUGCGCAGCUUAGGUGGGAGGCUAUGAACCUUUUCUUCUGGGAAGAGGGGAGCCAUCAGUGAGAUACCACUCUUGGUAAGCUAGAGCGCUCAGUCUUCACCGUCAUCCGGUAAGACGACAGUUUCAGGCGGGCAGUUUGACUGGGGCAGUCACCUCCCAAAAGGUAAUGGAGGUGUGCAAAGGUUCCCUCAGGCUGGACGGAAAUCAGCCAUAGAGUGUAAAAGCAUAAGGGAGCUUGACUGCGAGACUGACAUGUCAAGCAGAGACGAAAGUCGGCUUUAGUGAUCCGACGGUGCUGUGUGGAAAGGCCGUCGCUCAACGGAUAAAAGUUACUCUAGGGAUAACAGGCUG
rnacentral:rRNA from 1 species